rfam:Branchiostoma floridae genomic scaffold BRAFLscaffold_89, whole genome shotgun sequence.
GUUUGACUGUAUGGAUGGUGUUCAGCACCAAGAAUAGGUAUGUUUGCCUAUGUGUGGAUGGUUUUCAGCACCAAGGGCAGGCAUGUUUGUAU